UACAGAGGUCUCAAGCGUUGUUCGGAUUCAUUGGGCGUAAAGGGUGCGUAGGCGGCGCGGUAAGUCGGGUGUGAAAUCUUGGAGCUUAACUCCGAAACUGCAUUCGAUACUGCCGUGCUUGAGGACUGGAGAGGAGACUGGAAUUUACGGUGUAGCGGUGAAAUGCGUAGAUAUCGUAAGGAAGACCAGUGGCGAAGGCGGGUCUCUGGACAGUUCCUGACGCUGAGGCACGAAGGUCAGUGGAGCAAACGGG
rnacentral:rRNA from 1 species